AUGGAAACGUGGCCUAAUACUCCAUAGUAUAUUUGGGAGGCAUCUCUUGGAUAUUAAAGCUUCGGUGGUGACGGAUUGGCUCGCGUGACAUUAGCUAGAUGGAGAGGUAACGGCUCACCAUGGCGACGAUGUCUAGGGGAACUGAGAGGUUAAUCCCCCACACUGGAACUGAGACACGGUCCAGACUCCUACGGGAGGCAGCAGUGAGGAAUAUUGGUCAAUGGCCGAGAGGCUGAACCAGCCAUGCCGCGUGAAGGUCACGGCCCUAUGGGUCUUAAACUUCUUUUGUAAGGGAGCAAUAAGGUGUACGUGUACAUCGAUGAGAGUACCUUACGAAUAAGCAUCGGCUAACUCCGUG
rnacentral:rRNA from 1 species